GAGGAGUCGAACCAAAAACGGAUUUUCAGCGGAUAAAAAGCAGCGGAGACUCUGAGCUUGGAGAUGGAUGCCGUACAGUUCUCGACCGUUGCCUCCCGCUAUUUCUCCUCUUGCUUUUUCACGAGAAACAAUCACAGAGACUUAAACCUCUCCAAAUGCAGGAGAACUUCCUCUGAUUUUUGUUCUUCAUGGACUGGUUCCAGUAGCGUCUCUUAGCUUUCUUGCAGAAACUUGUUCACUGUAAGGAAAGAAUCACCCAAUUCUUUUAAUGUCUUUUUAGACUCUGAUUGGUUUCCUAGAAAGUGUGUUUACUCAAUUUUUUGGCUGUAAACAGAGGGAGAUAUGGGGCUGGGUCAAUUGCAAGAACGUAACUUUCAGAGAUGUUCGUGGUGUGGUAAAGGCGGACAUGUUUUGGCUGUUAACAAGCGGCCUUGAAGCUGCUUGGAGCAAGCUCAAAGGAAAAGGCUUUAGCUUUUCGCUUCUUUGUCCUUGCUCAAUUA
rnacentral:misc_RNA from 1 species